rnacentral:lncRNA from 1 species
GAACAGAAGGGUUUUACGUGAAAAAGCAGAGAAGCAUCGUGAAAGAGGAAAAGGGCAAGAGAAGGAGCUGUAGAGCAAAGGUUGGAGAACGGAAAAGCUUGAAGCUCGAAGAGUUGCCGGAUUGUUAAGGUAAGGGGGGUUUAUCGUCGUUUAAUGGGUAUUAUCGAUUAACAUGUAAUGGGUAGUGAUAAGCCGUCGAUUGACCCUAAUUGGGAUUUAGAAUGCUGAGAAAUUAUGUUGAAUAAGUUGUAUUAAAGCUGAAAUUGAAUUUGUGUUUGAGUGUAUUGUGAAUUUCUGAGCGUAUAGCUUUUUACGGAAGUUGAAUCGGAGGUCCGGAAGUCCUCCAACGGCGGAAAAUGCGGAAACUCUGCAUUCUGCCUUGUGUUAGCGCAGGAACUGCUGUUUCG